CUACUCGGUCACAGUGGCCGGGUCACAAAUGGUAACCUAUUCCCUAUAUAGUGCACUACUUCUGGCCAGAGCUCUAUGGGGUAGGCUAUAGGGCAUGGUUAGAGAACAGAGCUCUAUGGGGUAGGCUAUAGGGCAUGGUUAGAGAACAGAGCUCUAUGGGGUAGGCUAUAGGGCAUGGUUAGAGAACAGAGCUCUAUGGGGUAGACUAUAGGGCAUGGUUAGAGAACAGAGCUCUAUGGGGUAGGCUAUAGGGCGUGGUUAGAGAACAGAGCUCUAUGGGGUAGGCUAUAGGGAAUGGUUAGAGAACAGAGCUCUAUGGGGUAGGCUAUAGGGCAUGGUUAGAGAACAGAGCUCUAUGGGGUAGGCUAUAGGGCGUGGUUAGAGAACAGAGCUCUAUGGGGUAGGCUAUAGGGCAUGGUUAGAGAACAGAGCUCUAUGGGGUAGGCUAUAGGGGAUGGUUAGAGAACAGAGCUCUAUGGGGUAGGCUAUAGGGGAUGGUUAGAGAACAGAGCUCUAUGGGGUAGGCUAUAGGGCAUGGUUAGAGAACAGAACUCUAUGGGGUAGGCUGUAGGGGAUGGUUAGAGAACAGAGCUCUAUGGGGUAGGCUAUAGGUCAUGGUUAGAGAACAGAGCUCUAUGGAGUAGGCUAUGGGGCAUGGUUAGAGAACAGAGCUCUAUGGGGUAGGCUAUAGGGCAUGGUUAGAUAACAGAGCUCUAUGGGGUAGGCUAUAGGGCAUGGUUAGAGAACAGAGAUCUAUGGGGUAGGCUAUAGGGCAUGGUUAGAGAACAGAGCUCUAUGGGGUAGGCUAUAGGGAAUGGUUAGAUAACAGAGCUCUAUGGGGUAGGCUAUAGGGCAUGGUUAGAGAACAGAGCUCUAUGGGGUAGGCUAUAGGGCAUGGUUAGAGAACAGAGAUCUAUGGGGUAGGCUAUAGGGGAUGGUUAGAGAACAGAGCUCUAUGGGGUAGGCUAUAGGGCAUGGUUAGAGAACAGAGCUCUAUGGGGUAGGCUAUAGGGCAUGGUUAGAGAACAGAGCUCUAUGGGGUAGGCUAUAGGGCAUGGUUAGAGAACAGAGAUCUAUGGGGUAGGCUAUAGGGCAUGGUUAGAGAACAGAGCUCUAUGGGGUAGGCUAUAGGGAAUGGUUAGAUUACAGAGCUCUAUGGGGUAGGCUAUAGGGCGUGGUUAGAGAACAGAGCUCUAUAGGGUAGGCUAUAGGGGAUGGUUGGAGAACAGAGCUCUAUGGGGUAGGCUGUAGGGAAUGGUUAGAUAACAGAGCUCUAUGGGGUAGGCUAUAGGGCAUGGUUAGAGAACAGAGCUCUAUGGGGUAGGCUAUAGGGCGUGGUUAGAGAACAGAGCUCUAUAGGGUAGGUUAUAGGGCAUGGUUAGAGAACAGAGCUCUAUGAGGUAGGCUAUAGGGCAUGGUUAGAGAACAGAGCUCUAUGAGGUAGGCUAUAUGGCAUGGUUAGAGGACAGAGCUCUAUGGGGUAGGCUAUAGGGCAUGGUUAGAGAACAGAGCUCUAUGGGGUAGGCUAUAGGGCGUGGUUAGAGAACAGAGCUCUAUGGGGUAGGCUAUAGGACAUGGUUAGAGAACAGAGCUCUAUGGGGUAGACUAUAGGGCAUGGUUAGAGAACAGAGCUCUAUGGGGUAGACUAUAGGGCAUGGUUAGAGAACAGAGCUCUAUGGGGUAGGCUAUAGGGCGUGGUUAGAGAACAGAGCUCUAUGGGGUAGGCUAUAGGGAAUGGUUAGAGAACAGAGCUCUAUGGGGUAGGUUAUAGGGCAUGGUUAGAGAACAGAGCUCUAUGGGGUAGGCUAUAGGGCAUGGUUAGAGAACAGAGCUCUAUGGGGUAGUCUAUAGGGCAUGGUUAGAGAACAGAGCUCUAUGGGGUAGGCUAUAGGGCAUGGUUAGAGAACAGAGCUCUAUGGGGUAGGCUAUAGGGCGUGGUUAGAGAACAGAGCUCUAUGGGGUAGGCUAUAGGGCAUGGUUAGAGAACAGAGCUCUAUGGGGUAGGCUAUAGGGGAUGGUUAGAGAACAGAGCUCUAUGGGGUAGGCUAUAGGGGAUGGUUAGAGAACAGAGCUCUAUGGGGUAGGCUAUAGGGCAUGGUUAGAGAACAGAACUCUAUGGGGUAGGCUAUAGGGGAUGGUUAGAGAACAGAGCUCUAUGGGGUAGGCUAUAGGGCAUGGUUAGAGAACAGAGCUCUAUGGGGUAGGCUAUAGGGCAUGGUUAGAGAACAGAGCUCUAUGGGGUAGGCUAUAGGGCAUGGUUAGAGAACAGAGAUCUAUGGGGUAGGCUAUAGGGCAUGGUUAGAGAACAGAGCUCUAUGGGGUAGGCUAUAGGGAAUGGUUAGAUUACAGAGCUCUAUGGGGUAGGCUAUAGGGCAUGGUUAGAGAACAGAGCUCUAUGGGGUAGGCUAUAGGUCAUGGUUAGAGAACAGAGAUCUAUGGGGUAGGCUAUAGGGCAUGGUUAGAGAACAGAGCUCUAUGGGGUAGGCCUAGGGCGUGGUUAGAGAACAGAGCUCUAUGGGGUAGGCUAUAGGGAAUGGUGGGACAAAUUCUGAGCGGAGCCUCACUAACCUUGGUCUAAGACUUACCCCAUAUGGCGCUGGGCAACAUGAGGGCACUACAUAGACAACACAGGGCCAUUUGGGACACAUACUGAACGGAGCCUCACUAACCUUGGUCUAAGACUUACCCCAAAUGGCUCUGGGCAACAUGAGGGCACUACAUAGACAACACAGGGGCCAU